CCCUUAGAUGUUCUGGGCCGCACGCGCGCUACACUGAUGCAUUCAACGAGCCUAUCCUUGACCGACAGGUCCGGGUAAUCUUUGAAUCUGCAUCGUGACGGGGAUAGAUUAUUGCAAUUAUUAAUCUUCAACGAGGAAUGCCUAGUAGGCGCAAGUCAUAAGCUUGCGUCGAUUACGUCCCUGCCCUUUGUACACACCGCCCGUCGCUCCUACCGAUUGGGUGUGCUGGUGAAAUGUUCGGAUCGGCCGUUUGUCGCGGUUUCCGCGUCAUGUGGCUGAGAAGUUCAUUAAACCCUCCCACCUAGAGGAAGGAGAAGUCGUAACA
rnacentral:rRNA from 1 species